rnacentral:rRNA from 1 species
ACUCCUACGGGAGGCAGCAGUAGGGAAUCUUCCACAAUGGGCGCAAGCCUGAUGGAGCAACACCGCGUGAGUGAAGAAGGGUUUCGGCUCGUAAAGCUCUGUUGUUAAUGAAGAACACGUAUGAGAGUAACUGUUCAUACGUUGACGGUAUUUAACCAGAAAGUCACGGCUAACUACGUGCCAGCAGCCGCGGUAAUACGUAGGUGGCAAGCGUUAUCCGGAUUUAUUGGGCGUAAAGAGAGUGCAGGCGGUUUUCUAAGUCUGAUGUGAAAGCCUUCGGCUUAACCGGAGAAGUGCAUCGGAAACUGGAUAACUUGAGUGCAGAAGAGGGUAGUGGAACUCCAUGUGUAGCGGUGGAAUGCGUAGAUAUAUGGAAGAACACCAGUGGCGAAGGCGGCUACCUGGUCUGCAACUGACGCUGAGACUCGAAAGCAUGGGUAGCGAACAGGAUUAGAUACCCUGGUAGGAUAGCG